rnacentral:rRNA from 1 species
CACGUAGGGGCCAAGCGUUGUCCGGAUUCAUUGGGCGUAAAGAGCUCGUAGGCGGUUCAGUUUAGUCGGGUGUGAAAUCUCCGGGCUCAACCCGGAGGGGCCACCCGAUACUGCUGUGACUCGAGUCCGGGUAGGGGAGUGGGGAAUUCCUGGUGUAGCGGUGAAAUGCGCAGAUAUCAGGAGGAACACCGGUGGCGAAGGCGGCUACCUGGACCGGGUUCUGACGCUGAUGCGCGAAAGCGUGGGGAGCAAACAGGG